rnacentral:lncRNA from 1 species
CUAUGGAUGCAGUGGACAUCAUUGGACAAAUUCACACAAGCUCCUAUGCUUGGGCCCUGAGUUCUCUCCUGUCACAACUUUCGCUUAUGACUGGCCAGAGAAUCUACUGGUGCAUACAUGGUAGGAGAUAUUGAUUCAUGGUUGGCCUUCUUUGUUUGUUAAUCAUGAAAUUAAUUAUUUGCUUAUGAUUCUUACUUGUUAUUGAUCUCUCAGGUUUCAUCAAAGCCUCCCAUGGUUGCACCUUCCAUUUCUUCUGGUAAUUGAGAGAGAUAAAUGCAAUUAUGCAGUGAAGAGGGAUGAGUAAUUAAAUUAUUUGAUUUGUUGAGCAACUCCAGAAUAGAUAUUUACCGGUACAUCUC